GGUAUGUUACACCCAAAGUCUAGAAAUAAAAUCUAAAAUCCAAAGUCCACAAAUAAAAUCCCAAAACCCAAAGUCCACAAAUAAAACCUAAAACUCAAUGUCCACAAAUAAAAUUCCAAAAUCCAAAGUCCACAAAUAAAACCCAAAACCGAAUGUCCACAAAUAAAACCCAAAACUCAAUGUCCACAAAUAAAAUCCAAAACCCAAAGUUCACAAAACCUCUCAAAUCCAAACGACCGCAAAGUCGUUAAAACUAACCAACCAAAUCCAAACGACCGCAAAGUCGUUAAAACUAACCAACCAAAUCCAAAUGAUCGCAAAGUCGCUAAACUAAACAACUAAUCAAACCGACUGCCAUGUCGUUAAACUGAGAUACUCAACUCAAGCCGACCGCCAUGUCGUUAAACUGAGCAGCAUAACUCAAAUUGACCACCAUGUCGCUAAACUGAGCAUCUCAAUUUUAAUCGACCGCCAAGUCGCAAAACUUAGCAAAUCAAAUUCAGAUAUGACCGUCAAGUCGUUAAACUAAACAAUUAGCUAUCAAUUCGUUAGACUGAAUACUUGACCGUCAAGUCGUUAAACUGAAUUCAAAUUCAAAUUGACCCUUAAGUCGUUAAACUGAGCAAAUGACCAUCAAAUCGAUAAACUGAAUAUUUGACUAUCAAGUUGUUAAACUGAACAUUUGACCGUCAAGUUCUUAAACUGAAUUCAAAUUCAAAUUAACCCUCAAGUCAUUAAACUGAACAAAUAACCAUCAAGUCGUUAAACUAAAUAUCUGACUGUCAAGUCGUUAAACUGACUUCAAAUUCAAAUUGACCGCCAAGUCGCUAAACUGAGCAAUCAAAUUAAAUUCCUUUUGAUCGCAAAGUCAUUAAACUGAGCGAACUGAAUUCAAAUUCAAAUGACCAUCAAAUCGUUAAACUGAACUCAACUCAAACGGACCGCUAUGUCGUUAAACUAAGCGACUUAACUCAAGCCGACCGCCAUGUCAU
rnacentral:lncRNA from 1 species